rnacentral:miRNA from 1 species
UACGCAGAAGUUUGCUUCAUCA